CCUACGGGAGGCAGCAGUAGGGAAUAUUGCACAAUGGGGGAAACCCUGAAGCAGCAACGCCGCGUGGAGGAUGAAGGUUUUCGGUAUGUAAACUCCUAUUGUCAGAGAAGAUAAUGACGGUAUCUAACGAAUAAGCACCGGCUAACUCCGUGCCAGCAGCCGCGGUAAUACGGAGGGUGCAAGCGUUACUCGGAUUCACUGGGCGUAAAGAGAGCGUAGGCGGGAUAGCAAGUCAGAUGUGAAAUCCUAUGGCUUAACCAUGGAACUGCAUUUGAAACUGUUCAUCUAGAGUAUGGGAGAGGUAGGUGGAAUUCUUGGUGUAGGGGUGAAAUCCGUAGAGAUCAAGAGGAAUACUCAUUGCGAAGGCGACCUGCUAGAACGUAACUGACGCUGAUGCGCGAAAGCGUGGGGAGCAAACAGGAUUAGAUACCCGAGUAGUC
rnacentral:rRNA from 1 species